AGAGGGUGCGAGCGUUAAUCGGAAUUACUGGGCGUAAAGCGUACGUAGUCGGCUUGCCAAGUCGGGUGUGAAAUCCCCGGGCUCAACCUGGGAACUGCAUCCGAAACUGGCUUGCUAGAGUAUGGGAGAGGGAGGCGGAAUUUCUGGUGUAGCAGUGAAAUGCGUAGAUAUCAGAAGGAACAUCAGUGGCGAAGGCGGCCUCCUGGACCAAUACUGACGAUCAGGUACGAAAGCGUGGGGAGCAAACAGGAUUAGAUACCCUGGUAGUCCACGCCCUAAACGAUGACAACUGGAUGUCGGGAGGGUUUGCCUUCCGGUGUCGUAGCUAACGCGUUAAGUUGUCCGCCUGGGAAGUACGGCCGCAAGGUUG
rnacentral:rRNA from 1 species